rnacentral:rRNA from 1 species
UGAGAAUGCCGGAAUGAGUAGCGAGAAUUAUGUGAGAAUCAUAAUGGCCGAAAGUCUAAGGUUUCCUGAGGAAGGUUCGUCCUCUCAGGGUUAGCCGGGAGCUAAGGUGAGGCGGAAACGCGUAGCCGAUGCACAUACGGUAGAAAUUCCGUAGCCUCCGAAGAUUUAAGCACAGGGACACUUUUGAAGGGCUGAGCCGGGCGUUGGUUGCCCCGGUCGAAAGGGACACGAGUGAGUGGAAGUCAGUUUGGAAAGAGGCGAGAAAAGCUGUGUGUAUAUGGAAGGAGCCCGUACCGCAAACCGACACAGGUAGACAGGAAGAAGAUUCUAAGGCCAGCGGGAGAAGGGUUGUUAAGGAACUCGGCAAGUUGACCCCGUAACUUCGGGAGAAGGGGUGCUUACGAAGGUAAGCCGCAGAGAAUAGGCCCAAGCGACUGUUUAGCAAAAACACAGCUCUAUGCUAAAUCGAAAGAUGACGUAUAUGGGGUGACACCUGCCCGGUGCUGGAAGGUUAAGAGGAGAUGUGAGAGCAUUGAAUUGAAGCCCCAGUAAACGGCGGCCGUAACUAUAACGGUCCUAAGGUAGCGAAAUUCCUUGUCAGGUAAGUUCUGACCCGCACGAAUGGUGUAACGAUCUGGACACUGUCUCAACAACCCGCCCGGCGAAAUUGUAGUACCGGUGAAGAUGCCGGUUACCCGCGACUAGACGGAAAGACCCCAUGGAGCUUCACUGCAGCUUAAUAUUGGAUUUCGGUAUUUCAUGUACAGGAUAGGUGGGAGACUGGGAAAUACAGGCGUCAGCUUGUAUGGAGUCAUUGUUGGGAUACCACUCUUGAGGUGCUGGAAUUCUAACCUGUGGCCUUGAAUCAGGUCAGGGGACAUUGUUAGGCGGGCAGUUUGACUGGGGCGGUCGCCUCCUAAAAGGUAACGGAGGCGCUCAAAGGUUCGCUCAGCAUGGACGGAAACCAUGCCAGAGAGUGCAAACGCAUAAGCGAGCCUAACUGCGAGACUGACGGGUCGAGCAGUAACGAAAGUUGGAGUUAGUGAUCCGGCGGUAUAUGUGAGUGGAAAUGCCGUCGCUCAACGGAUAAAAGCUACCCUGGGGAUAACAG